GAUUAACGCUGGCGGCGUGCAUAACACAUGCAAGUCGAACGAUGAAACUUAACUGAUUUCUUCGGAAUGAUUUUAAGUGGAUUAGUGGCGGACGGGUGAGUAACGCGUGAGUAACCUGCCUUGGAGAAGGGGAUAGCCUUUGGAAACGAAGAAUAAUACCCUAUGAUAUGAUAAUAUCUCAUGAUAUUAUCAUCAAAGAUUUAUCGCUCUAAGAUGGACUUGCGUCUGAUUAGUUAGUUGGUGAGGUAACAGCUCACCAAGGCAGCGAUCAGUAGCCGGCUUGAGAGAGUGUACGGCCACAUUGGGACUGAGACACGGCCCAGACUCCUACGGGAGGCAGCAGUGGGGAAGUUUGCACAAUGGGGGAAACCCUGAUGCAGCGACGCCGCGUGAUUUAGAAGGCCUUCGGGUUGUAAAAAUCUUUUGUAUGGGAAGAAAAUGACAGUACCAUACGAAUAAGGACCGGCUAAUUACGUG
rnacentral:rRNA from 1 species